ensembl:lncRNA
AUGUCUACUACAAAGAAGCAUCGAGCCAUGGGGUCUGAGGAGUGGGUGGCGCGCCUGAAUGCAUUUGCCUGUUCUGGCACUUGGCCCUCCGGUGCAGGGAACAGGCCAUCUCCCAAACAGGAUAGGAGUCUUGCUCCGCCUGGUCCCGUCCCUGCUCCGCCUGGUCCCGUCCCUGCUCCGCCUGGUCCCGUCCCUGCUCCGCCUGGUCCUGUCCCUGCUCCGCCUGGUCCCCUCCCUGCUCCCCCUGGUCCCCUCCCUGCUCCCCCUGCUCCCGUCCCUACCCCUCCUUGUACUUCUUCAUUUCUGGGUCCGGCUCCACAACAGUUCUGGCUACCAGCAGAAAUGAAGAAGACCAUUCCCCAGCAAGACCAGCGCUGGAUUGCAUCCACGCUGUGGAGGAACCAGCGGCUGCGCCCAGACCUACAGCUCUGGUAUGAGCCACCGGUGCCAGGCCUGAUCUACAAUCAGGUCCCGUCACCAGAUCGGUUUUUCACUCACCGGCUCCUGGUGUGGAUGCCCUACCACCUUUGGAAGGUGAGUCUGUCCUGCCCAAAGUGUGGGAAGCAGCUCACCGGGGCCGGCAUGCACAAGAGGGCACGGCAGGUCCUGGACGUGGACAGGUACUACCUGAUGGUGACGGAGACCCUCAGGUGCAACGCCAUCGGUUGCGUCACCAAUUACCUGUCCACGAGCCAGACCGUCCUGGACCAGCUGAGCCUGCCUCUCCGUGGGGAGUUCCGCAUCAUCCUGACACGCAAGUAUGCGUGUGACAUCCGCGUCAUCAGGAUGCUACGGGAGAGGACCCUCGGCAACAGCUCUACCCGCCUAGCCAAACAGCUGCGGGAGAACCACGGCGAGGAGUGGCUGCAGCGUGUGGCCCGCUACCUGGAGGUGUGUGCCGACUUUGUGGACCAGCCGAGUCUCUUCCCUGU